AGCAGCUUAUAAUUUCUCAUUAAAAACCCACAACAGAUGCGUGGUAUUGUUAGAAUUUUUUCUAAUAUUUUGUGGACUGCAAUCAAUUUUAGGUUUUGGUUUUAAUAAGAAUAAAUUGAUGUUGUGAUCCAUUUGAUGAUGCUUAAACCCUAAUAAGAGUGAUCAAUAGAUAAUGGGUAUUUGUACACAUUUGUGUAGAAACAAGGUGUAGGCCCGAACAUUAGGGUUCAUGAUGGGUGGUACCUAGAGUUGCACGGUUAUAAAUAGAGAGGCUAGGUCCCUUUGCCAUCACUCUAACAAUUAUGCUUAUUAGUGGUUUGCCCCAUCGAAAACCCUAAGUUCUGAAGCAUGUGAAAGGCAAAGGAAGACUUUGUCUCAUCUCGGCGAAUUCGGUAAUCAUGAUUUCCAAUUUUAAUUGCUUUACCUUUGAGAUCAUGUGCGAUGUUCAUCCAAGUCAAAUUCUAUGUGAAUUAAGAAACAAAUAUUUGAAAGAUGGAGUCUUGGAGCAAAAGAAAGGAGAAUUGAAGCUGAUUCAUGUCAAAAAUAUGAAGAUCUCAUACAAAACUAUCUUCUACAAGGAUUCAUUUCAAAAAUAUGAAGAUCUCAUACAAAAAUAUCUUGUAUGAGAUCUUGUACAAAAAUAUAACAAGUGGCGCGCCCCUAUUGUCCUUUUGCUGAUUUUGAUUCUACGACAAAGCUGCCUAUUUUAGUAUUUCUGACCUAGAGCCCAUGGUUUCUUGUGCAACACUACACUAUAGCGAUUUAAUUCUUGGGGAUCAAGUCAAUGUUAGACUAUAAAUAGAGCAGUCUCUAGUUUGUAAAACCAUCUUUUGUUCUUAAAAUAAAAGUUCACCUUUAUUUUAUUGUUAUUUA